rnacentral:rRNA from 1 species
GAUGAACGCUAGCGGCAGGCCUAACACAUGCAAGUCGAGGGGUAACAGAGAGAAGCUUGCUUUUCUGCUGACGACCGGCGCACGGGUGCGUAACGCGUAUACAAUCUGCCUUAUACAGAGGGAUAGCCUUUAGAAAUGAAGAUUAAUACCUUAUAGUCUAUUUUUAUAGCAUUAUAUAAAUAGUAAAGCUUCGGUGGUAUAAGAUGAGUAUGCGUCCUAUUAGUUAGUUGGUAAGGUAACGGCUUACCAAGACAACGAUAGGUAGGGGCCCUGAGAGGGGGAUCCCCCACACUGGUACUGAGACACGGACCAGACUCCUACGGGAGGCAGCAGUGAGGAAUAUUGGACAAUGGAGGCAACUCUGAUCCAGCCAUGCCGCGUGCAGGAUGACGGCCCUAUGGGUUGUAAACUGCUUUUAUAUAGGAAGAAACCUUUUCACGUGUGAGAAGCUGACGGUACUAUAAGAAUAAGGACCGGCUAACUCCGUGCCAGCAGCCGCGGUAAUACGGAGGGUCCGAGCGUUAUCCGGAAUCAUUGGGUUUAAAGGGUCCGUAGGCGGGAAUCUAAGUCAGUGGUGAAAUCUUGCAGCUCAACUGUAAAAUUGCCAUUGAUACUGGAUUUCUUGAAUUAGUGUGAAGUGGUUAGAAUGUGUAGUGUAGCGGUGAAAUGCAUAGAUAUUACACAGAAUACCAAUUGCGAAGGCAGAUCACUAACACUAUAUUGACGCUGAGGGACGAAAGCGUGGGGAGCGAACAGGAUUAGAUACCCUGGUAGUCCACGCCGUAAACGAUGGAUACUAGCUGUUCGAUCUUCGGAUUGAGUGGCUAAGCGAAAGUGAUAAGUAUCCCACCUGGGGAGUACGUUCGCAAGAAUGAAACUCAAAGGAAUUGACGGGGGCCCGCACAAGCGGUGGAGCAUGUGGUUUAAUUCGAUGAUACGCGAGGAACCUUACCAGGGCUUAAAUGUAGUCUGACAGCUUUAGAGAUAGAGUUUUCUUCGGACAGAUUACAAGGUGCUGCAUGGUUGUCGUCAGCUCGUGCCGUGAGGUGUCAGGUUAAGUCCUAUAACGAGCGCAACCCCUGUUGUUAGUUGCCAGCGAGUAAUGUUGGGAACUCUAACAAGACUGCCGGUGCAAACCGUGAGGAAGGUGGGGAUGACGUCAAAUCAUCACGGCCCUUACGUCCUGGGCCACACACGUGCUACAAUGGCCGGUACAGAGAGCAGCCACUACGCGAGUAGGAGCGAAUCUUCAAAACCGGUCUCAGUUCGGAUCGGAGUCUGCAACUCGACUCCGUGAAAGCUGGAAUCGCUAGUAAUCGCAUAUCAGCCAUGAUGCGGUGAAUACGUUCCCGGGCCU